GAUAGAACGUAGCGAAAUGCGAUACGUAAUGUGAAUUGCAGAAUUCAGUGAAUCAUCGAGUCUUUGAACGCACAUUGCGCCCCCUGGUAUUCCGGGGGGCAUGCCUGUCCGAGCGUCAUUGCUGCCCUCAAGCACGGCUUGUGUGUUGGGCCUCCGUCCUCCUCCCGGGGGACGGGCCCGAAAGGCAGCGGCGGCACCGCGUCCGGUCCUCGAGCGUAUGGGGCUUCGUCACCCGCUCUUGUAGGCCCGGCCGGCGCUUGCCGACACAUCAAUCUUUUUUCCAGGUUGACCUCGGAUCAGGUAGGGAUACCCGCUGAACUUAAGCAUAUCAAUAAGCGGAGGA
rnacentral:misc_RNA from 1 species